GGUUGGUAUCAUACCAGCACUAAUGCACCGGAUCCCAUCAGAACUCCGCAGUUAAGCGUGCUUGGGCGAGAGUAGUACUUGGAUGGGUGACCCCAUGGGAAGUCCUCGUGUUGCAACCCC
rnacentral:rRNA from 1 species